AACUUUUAACAAUGGAUCACUUGGUUCUCGCAACGAUGAAGAACGCAGCGAAAUGCGAUAUGUAAUGUGAAUUGCAGAAUUCAGUGAAUCAUCGAAUCUUUGAACGCACAUUGCGCUCCUUGGUAUUCCGAGGAGCACACCUGUUUGAGUAUCAAUAAACUCUCAUUGUGUUUUGUUAUUGAAACAACACUGCACAAUGGAUUUGGACAAUCUGCUUCAUCAUGAAUCAGCUGUCUUAAUGUCAAUGUCUUUAAGCUUCGUUGAAAAGAGUAUGCUUAUCUGAAAUGAUAGAAUAAGUGAUGCACUUUUUUACUUUCAGAACUAUGCUGUAUUCAUAAUUUUCGAAGGCGUUUUUUGAUUCAACAUAAACAUUUAUGAUGGUUUCAGUUGAAACCAUCAUAGAUACAACUUGGUCUCAAAUCAGGUGGGAAAACCCGCUGAACUUAAGCAUAUCAAUAAGCGGAGGCU
rnacentral:misc_RNA from 1 species